rnacentral:tRNA from 1 species
CAAAAUAGAGCAUGAAUAUGCACCUCACUUACAAUGGGGACAUGGAUCUAACAUCCUAUUUUGA